UUUUACGUAUAAAUUGUAUGUCAUAUUUCAAAGAGACGGCGAAGAGAAGGUUCAGAUAAACCGCAGGGACAUAAAGAUUGAGAGCCAUCAUCGUCGGAAAUCAAAUGAAGUAAAAGCAGGUGUUUAAGAAACAUAGAGAAUAAUACAAGAUAAGUUGACAAUCAUGGCUUACCAAUGUCACGCGUGUGAGGCCAGUUUCCCGAGACUGAGCCAGCUACUGCAUCACAGACGGACUGAGAAUCACUGGCCAAAAUUUACAUGCCCAAGCUGCAAGAAAAGUUUCACCAGAAAGAAUAACUUGAAACAACACAUGAAAAAGCACGCAGAUGAAAAUAAUCACCAUUGCCCGGAUUGUCUUCGUGUAUUCACAAGAAAAGAUGCUCUUGAUGAGCAUUUUAUACAACACGAAAGCCAAAGUGGUGGAGGCAUUAAGAGGGCUCGUGUUGACGGAGUGGAUAACAAUGUCAAUCAUAAAAAACAAAAAUUAACAGCAAAGGACGAUCCGACGGAAUACUAUCGGAUGGAUAAGAUCAGUGAAAAAAGAAUAGAAAAGUUCAGUACGACCGCGUCGUAUUACAAAAUAUCAGUAAAUGAUAUAGAGGUCCGGGAACUUCCCAAUAUCAUCAAAACUUUAAAACAAAUUUUCCAGUCAAUCAUUGACAGUAUUGCUGGCAAAAUACCAUCUACCGAUAAAAUGAGAAUUACAAUGGAUAAUCCGCAAUUGGACUUUCCAAUCGUUCUUCCAUUUAUGAGGAGAUCUGAACUUACAGUCAACAGAAUUUUGUCAGAAAUAGAGGGGUGCUGCAGUCAUAUGAACAAUUUGUGCUUGAUGAAACGUUCGGGCUGGAGCUCGUUCAUGUACAUUUACCUGCUGGAAGUGGAACUCGUGGCAAACCGUACGUGGACAUAUCAAGGUUGUUAAAAAGUAAAGGUAGUGUCAUUCAAAUUAGAAAUACCGAUGAACUUUGCUGUGCACGCGCCAUAGUGACAGCAAUAGCACGUAUAGAAAAACACCCGCAGUGGGAUAACAUACGCAAAGGGCGUCAUGCGCAAAAACAACUGGCACUUAACUUACAUGACAAGGCUGGAGUACCUUUACAACACUGUGGUAUUGAAGAAGUGAAACAAUUUCAAGAAGUACUUUCCAGUUAUAAGAUCCUUGUUUUGUCGAAGGAACACUUUAACGCCAUUAUCUAUGAAGGACAAGAAGACGGCGUACCUAUUUACUUGUACUAUGACAAUGAACACUUUGAUGUUAUCACGACAGUCGCAGGCUUCCUGAAUAGAAGUUACUUUUGCGUUCAAUGUAAAAAGGGUUACAGUAACAAAGAGCAACAUGCCUGUAACAAUCCUUGCGUUCACUGUCAUCGUAUACACGAGGACGACUCUGCGCACUGGGAAUAUUGUGAUGACUGCAAUAGAUAUUUCAUCAACGAAACGUGUUUCUUAAUGCACAAGCAAAACCAUGAUACUGGAACAUCAACUUGCAGUAUGUAUUACAAAUGUAGAGAUUGCGGACAAGCAAUAAAUAUGCGGAAGCAUAAGAAUCCUCACAUGUGUAAUGAAACAUACUGUAAAACAUGCAAAGAUUUCGUGGAAGAAGAUCACAAGUGUUUUAUGCAGCCAGUGGAAGAGGAUGAACCUAUGACCACAAGUAAUAAAACAAAGCCAAAGGAUACAAAAUAUAUAUAUUUUGACUUUGAGUGCACACAAGAUCAACAGCUC